AUUGAACGCUGGCGGCAUGCUUUACACAUGCAAGUCGAACGGUAACAGGCCGCAAGGUGCUGACGAGUGGCGAACGGGUGAGUAAUGCAUCGGAACGUGCCCAGUCGUGGGGGAUAACUACUCGAAAGAGUAGCUAAUACCGCAUACGAUCUAUGGAUGAAAGCGGGGGACCGUAAGGCCUCGCGCAAUUGGAGCGGCCGAUGUCAGAUUAGGUAGUUGGUGGGGUAAAGGCUCACCAAGCCAACGAUCUGUAGCUGGUCUGAGAGGACGACCAGCCACACUGGGACUGAGACACGGCCCAGACUCCUACGGGAGGCAGCAGUGGGGAAUUUUGGACAAUGGGCGCAAGCCUGAUCCAGCAAUGCCGCGUGCAGGAAGAAGGCCUUCGGGUUGUAAACUGCUUUUGUACGGAACGAAACGGCUCUGGUUAAUACCCGGGGCUAAUGACGGUACCGUAAGAAUAAGCACCGGCUAACUACGUG
rnacentral:rRNA from 1 species